CCUACGGGUGGCAGCAGUGGGGAAUAUUGCACAAUGGGGGAAACCCUGAUGCAGCGACGCCGCGUGAAGGAAGAAGUAUUUCGGUAUGUAAACUUCUAUCAGCAGGGAAGAAAAUGACGGUACCUGACUAAGAAGCCCCGGCUAACUACGUGCCAGCAGCCGCGGGAAUACGUAGGGGGCAAGCGUUAUCCGGAUUUACUGGGUGUAAAGGGAGCGUAGGCGGUGCAGCAAGUCAGAAGUGAAAGCCCGGGGCUCAACUCCGGGACUGCUUUUGAAACUGUUGAACUAGAUUGCAGGAGAGGUAAGUGGAAUUCCUAGUGUAGCGGUGAAAUGCGUAGGUAUUAGGAGGAACUCCGAUUGCGAAGGCAGCUUACUAAACUGCCACUGACAUUGAUGCUCGAAAGUGUGGGUAUCAAACAGGAUUAGAUACCCGGGUAGUC
rnacentral:rRNA from 1 species